UGGGGGUGGGCAAGAUGGAAUGUUUCAGCUAUGACUGGACUGCCUGUUCUGAGCUUCUAAAGCUGUCUCUAUGCUGUCUGUGUUCUAAGCCCUGAGCCUGGCACAACUUUUCCUGCUAGGUUCUCCCUCUGGACCAGUGAGCACCCUUGACUGCCCAGAAAUUCCAGUCAACUGCUGGAGGCUCAGCACUGUGUCAGUCACUGAAACUGAGUAUCAAAAUAAGCUCAACUCAGAAUCAUGUGCAUACAUCUAUAUCUAUCCACCUCAAUGAACAAAUAUUCAUAUGAUCAAUUUUUUACUGGGUAUUCUUCCUAUGUGUGCAGAUCCAAUGUAUGGAUGAUUGUUUUCAUGAAGAUUUUAUUAAGAUGAGAAAGUAGGUGAAGAAAAUUCACUUUUUUGGGGGGAAAGAAUUUCCAGGAGGGAUUAGCUUCUAAGAGAAGGUGGGAUGUUGUGAAGAAAGCUGUCUAGGAGACAAACCCAUACAGAUAAAAGGAAGAGGAUACUGUCCGAGAAGAAGCAUGCUUGGAUUCUACUGUGGACUUUUCCCAUUGUGUUUCUUGGUCAUUCGAACCAUAAGAAAUAUUAGGAGAAGAAAAUUAACAUCAAAGCUGAUUGUCUUGAAGGAACUGGAGGAGGGAUACAUUAGGUAAUAAUGACAUUAAAAUGUGUUUAAAAAAAACACCUUCACUGGUCUAACUGUUCUACUGUAGAUUUCAUCCUAUAUUUUUCCUCCCUCAUAGUCAAACUCCUAGCAAAUUCUGCUUAUAGUCAUGGUCUUCCCUUUUUCAGCUCUAACUUGAUUCCUAAAACCUUGCAAUUUAACUUCUGACCCAAUCACUUAACUGAAACUAUUCUUUCCAAAGUCAUCACUGAUCUCCUUGUUGUUGAACUGAAUGGGCUUCCUAUCAAGAUUGAGACCAAGAUGGAAGGUAGACCACCAAGUUGCCAUAGUCAAGCAAAAAUCUGACAUUUUCAUCAAACCUGAUAAAGAUAAAGAUAUCCAAUAGGAAUUUACAGGAAGUCCUUUUCCCACCAAAAUUGCAAAAAGAGUUAUUUAGAAGAUCCCAGACAAUAGAAACAGGGACCCAUCAUCAAAGAAAACAACAGUACAGAGCAACCUUGAGGUGAUAUCAAAGAUUGCCAGUGAUACAUGAAAUCUGCCCAGUUUUGUGUCCAGAACCUGCCAGAGUAGAAAGACUCCUGAGGAAAACUCACCUUAGGUAUGGCUCAUUUGUAGAGCAUCCUUAGAAAGGUAUAACAGGGUACUUACUACAAAAUGUUUGCCAGGUAUAUCACAGCAAUUUAUUUCUUCUACCAUAAAAAAUAAUAACACAAAUGAUUCCAAGACUCACAAUUAAAAUGCAGAAAAGCAUAAAACAAUAACCCAUAACAUUCAUUAUACCCUCCUGACAGGUGAAGGUAAGUUUGUGGGACUGCUGAAUAGAUGUUUUACUUUCACCCCAGACCUGCACUGUCUGAGCAACUCACAAGAUCCAAAUCUCACGGCUAGCCUGCACAUGAAUUAGGUUUGAUUUAGUCCUUUCACUGAAGAAUCCUGCUGGAAGUGGUGCUCUUUUCCUCCAAGAAGUGAUCCUGUUUGCUGAACUUUUGGCACCCACCCCCAUAACUCUCAAACUUUCCAACUCACAAAGAUGACCACCAGCCCUGCGACGUCUUUUUCUCAAAAUUGUUGAUUUUGUUGAUUUUCCUAACCAAUUCCAGGAAAAAAUAGAAAGUAGAAUGUGAUCAGAGAUUCAGGUUCACCUAGGCAAGCACAUGGUUCUGUUGGCAUGUGUGAUAGCUGGCAUUGCCAUAUAGAGAAAAGGGAGAGGGGAAAAUCCAUUACUUUUCCUGUUGAAUGUCCAAGAUAGAGAAAGCAAUAGAUACAUCCCAAAAGAUGUUGGGUUUAAAAAAGAGUGAGAAGUUAUUUCUACCUCUUCUAUAGAGCAUCAAGGGAAUAGGUUUCUCCUUGAUCAGAUGUCAAUCAUCUUUGAAAUAACCUUUUAAACUUGAGAAAAUAUGAGGACCAGUCAGUUGCUCCAUCAUUCCAAAGAGCAUGUCCUUCAGUUCAGAGCCAGACACAUGUCUAGCUUCAUUUAGAAAUGUUUCUUUCUGACAAAGGACUCCUGUAAUUUCAUCACGUAGAUUUAGGGACUGAUUUAUCAAAUCCCUAAUCAACUUUCCACCCAUAGCAUUAGAAUAAAACUUUAAAAAGAAGUGUGAUUCAUUCCAAAUGUACCAGAAAAUACAUUGUUUUGAGUUGUUUAAUGGCAAAAUGAGAGUUCAUAGAGGGAGGAAAGAGGAGGAUCUGUUUUCUAUAAGCCUUCCUUUUUCCUUUGCAAUAAUAAACACUUAUUCAGUAUAUGAACAAUUUGUUUCUCAAAAUAUAUAUAUAGAAAUGCCUAUUUAUGGUUUCUGGGAGUUGAGAUACAGAACAUCUUGAGUUAUUUUUAAAGUCUGAUCCUUUGUUCUAGAGUUGAUAAACCAAAAUCCAGGGAGAAGUUAAGCAACUUGGCCAAUUCAUAUAGCAGAGAGGGGAAGAACUGAGA